AGACCUGUCAAGGAUGUAGAGCCGAUCAACUAUUCUGCAUGCAGAAGGCCAUGGUGAAUGAUCUCAUCUUUAUCGCAAAACUCCUUGCAAAUGACAUUAACUGUUCACAUAAAGAUUUGGCUACCAGACUGAAACUUCAAAUCAACUUCAAAAUAGUUCUAGCUGCAUUUGAGAAAGGAGAAACUGAGACAUUUGUCUGGGCUUUGAUAUCCCAAGGACAACUAGAUCAUUUCAUACUGGCUAUGUAUGCAAUCGUG